GAACGAGAAAGUGGAGCAAUCCAUGAGUAAAGUGGCGACCGGGUGAGUAACACGUGACUGACCUACCUCCGAGUGGGGAAUAACUCCGGGAAACCGGGGCUAAUACCGCAUAACAUCGCAAGAUCAAAGCAGCAAUGCGCUUGGAGAGGGGGUCGCGGCUGAUUAGCUAGUUGGCGGGGUAACGGCCCACCAAGGCGAAGAUCGGUAUCCGGCCUGAGAGGGCGCACGGACACACUGGAACUGAAACACGGUCCAGACUCCUACGGGAGGCAGCAGUGGGGAAUUUUGCGCAAUGGGGGAAACCCUGACGCAGCAACGCCGCGUGGAGGAUGAAGCCCUUUGGGGCGUAAACUCCUUUCGACUCGGACGAUAAUGACGGUGCGAGUGGAAGAAGCACCGGCUAACUCUGUG
rnacentral:rRNA from 1 species